rnacentral:rRNA from 1 species
UACAGAGGCCUCAAGCGUUAUCCGGAAUCACUGGGCGUAAAGGGUGUGUAGGUGGUCGUGUUAGUCGUUUGUUAAAUCUCCCGGCCUAACCGGGAACAUGCAAACGAAACGGCACAACUAGAGGGUGUGAGGGGUCUGUGGAACUCAUGGAGUAGGGGUAAAAUCCGUUGAUAUCAUGGGGAACACCAAAAGCGAAGGCAGCAGACUGGCGCAUUCCUGACACUGAAACACGAAAGCGUAGGUAGCGAAUGGG